rnacentral:rRNA from 1 species
CAAUAGCGUAUAUUAAUGUUGUUGCAGUUAAAAGCUCGUAGUUGGAUUUCUGGCUGGAGUGUCCGGUCCGCCCCUCACGGGUGGUGUUACUUUGGGUUAUGCUUUUGGCCUAUCCGCUUGGCCGAUGGAGCGAAUGUGGGGCAUUAAGUUGUUCGUGUUGGGAUCGCCAUCAUUUACUGUGAAAAAUUAGAGUGUUUAAAGCAGGCGUUUGCUGUGAAUACAUUAGCAUGGAAUAAUAAGAUAGGACUUUGGUGCUAUUUUGUUGGUUUGUACACCGAGGUAAUGAUUAAUAGGGACAGUUGGGGGUAUUCGUAUUUAAUUGUCAGAGGUGAAAUUCUUGGAUUUAUGAAAGACGAACUACUGCGAAAGCAUUUACCAAGGAUGUUUUCAUUAAUCAAGAACGAAAGUUAGGGGAUCAAAGAUGAUUAGAUACC